GUAAGGAGUUUUCGGCAAUGGGGGGAACCCUGACCGAGCAACGCCGCGUGAGUGAUGACGGCCCUAUGGGUUGUAAAGCUCUGUUAUAAGGGACGAACAGCUUUGCUAGGAAAUGAGCAGAGUCUGACGGUACUUUAUCAGAAAGCCACGGCUAACUACGUGCCAGCAGCCGCGGUAAUACGUAGGUGGCAAGCGUUAUCCGGAAUUAUUGGGCGUAAAGAGUGAGCAGGCGGCAGAUUAAGUUUGAGGUUAAAGCGUGGGGCUCAACCCCAUAAAGCCUUGAAAACUGAUCAGCUAGAGUACGAGAGAUGUGAAGGGAACUCCAUGUGUAGCGGUGAAAUGCGUAGAUAUAUGGAAGAACACCAGUGGCGAAGGCGCUUCACAAGCUCGAAACUGACGCUCAGUCACGAAAGCGUGGGUAGCAAAUAGGAUUAGAUACCCUGGUAGUCC
rnacentral:rRNA from 1 species